CUCACCUGUAACCCAACUGGAGCUCCCAAGAGACGCUCAGUUUCCGCUGUAAUGGCGGCUGGAAAUGAAAUGGAAAAUAACUUUAUCAGCUGCGACACAGAGGAUUCGCCCAUUGAUUUUCUCCCAGACACGAAGAAUAGGACAGAGCUGCUUGGCUUCGUUUUAUUUUUGCGCAAAUUGUAGUUUGUGCUAAUCAGUUUAGGAUUCGCGGUAGUUUCUGAAAGCUACCAGCAGGACAAUGCGGGAUUUACCAAAAGUAUCUGGACUGAAGGAAGGUCCUGCUCCCAUUGUUCUUCACAGAUCUGCAGAUGAUGGCGAUGUGGCGAUGAUGUUAUAAACCCGAAGCACAAAAAGAAUCGUUCUUUUGUUCAUAGUUUCUAACCAAAACUGCCAAAUGACUGAUGAUGGACUUUUUUUCUGCGGCCGUGCCAAUUAGCUGUUUCGCUCACAAAGAUGGAGAAACUCUGAAAACGGAGAAGCUGCUACCAAGAUUCAUCAUCUGGAAUCCUGUUUGUAAUUACAUGUGGCAAUAAUUCAGCGAGGUUGACGCAUUCAGCUGCUCAGUGACUUUUACUGUAGCAACACCAUUCAUUCCCCAGUAACUCGGUCUCUGUUCUGGCUCCGAAGCGUUUCUCUGCUCUACAUGCGGCUCCAUCCCCUCCAGUUUGUCUCUGCUCCCUUUUUUAAUGCCUGAAGGAUCUGCAGGGAGGAGGUGGCAGAAUGUUAAAUUUAAGAAUAAAGCCAUAAAAUUAAUGUGUGCUGGUCUUAAAAUCAAGAUGUGCCGUGAUGACUAGCCUGAGGGAAGUCUGUAAUAAUGUCUGGACUUCGUCAUAUGGGGACCAGAAUGAUUAUAUGGAUCAGACUGUUGUGAAAUUUUAAGGAUUCCCUUCACAAUACUUCUUGGUUAAUGUUAAUUCAUUCAAUCUCUGGACUCGUUUUAUCCGUGUAGGGUUCAGGU